rnacentral:rRNA from 1 species
AUCUUCCGCAAUGGGCGAAAGCCUGACGGAGCAACGCCGCGUGAGUGAUGAAGGGUUUCGGCUCGUAAAACUCUGUUAUGAGGGAAGAACAAAUGUGUAAGUAACUGUGCACAUCUUGACGGUACCUCAUCAGAAAGCCACGGCUACCUACGUGCCAGCAGCCGCGGUAAUACGUAGGAGGCAAGCGUUAUACGGAAUUAUUGGGCGUAAAGAGGGCGUAGGCGGUUUCUUAAGUCUGAUGUGAAAGCCCACGGCUCAACCGUGGAGGGUCAUUGGAAGCUGGGAAACUUGAGUGCAGAAGAGGAAAGUGGAAUUCCAUGUGUAGCGGUGAAAUGCGCAGAGAUAUGGAGGAACACCAGUGGCGAAGGCGACUUUCUGGUCUGUAACUGACGCUGAUGUGCGAAAGCGUGGGGAUCAAACA